AGGCAAAGGAAGCGGACCUCCAAAAUCUAAAAAGGAGAUAUGUGGAAAAAGAAGAGGCUCUCCAAAAUCUAAGAAGGACAUAUCAGGAAAAAGAAGUUGAACUACAAAAACAGAAAAGGGAACUUGAAGAGGAACAGUAAAUUUAUACUUUUUUUGAUGCAUUUUCCUCUCUAGAAUUUAUAAAAUAAAUUACCAUAGCAA